rnacentral:rRNA from 1 species
GAUUCCUACGGGGCGCAGCAGUGGGGAAUAUUGCACAAUGGGGGAAACCCUGAUGCAGCGACGCCGCGUGAGUGAAGAAGUAUUUCGGUAUGUAAAGCUCUAUCAGCAGGAACGAGACAAGACGGUACCUGACUAAGAAGCCCCGGCUAACUACGUGCCAGCAGCCGCGGUAAUACGUAGGGAGCAAGCGUUGUCCGGAAUUACUGGGCGUAAAGGGCGCGUAGGUGGGCGCUUAAGUCAGGUGUGAAAACUCCGGGCUCAACCUGGAGACUGCACUUGAAACUGGGUGUCUUGAGGGCAGGAGG